UCUCAGAUAGUAUAGUGGUAAGGAUCCCUGCCUGUCACACAGGAGAUUUGAGUUCAAUUCCCAGUUUGAGAU
rfam:Basidiobolus meristosporus CBS 931.73 K493scaffold_994, whole genome shotgun sequence.